GUCCCCACCCUCCAUCCUCAUGCCUCACUGGCCACUUGUCGCUCCGCAGCGACUGGGACCUGGAGGCUACGGGAGACCUGGAUGAUACAGUCCCGGGCAGGGAAAAACGCUGCAAGCAGCACGAAACAGUGUCUGCCCUAAAGUUUCCCAGAAUUGCACUGAGUACAGAAUGAAGCAAGUUGCAUCAUUCCUGCCGGGAAAGACGCAGUUCUGACCCUGGACCCUGAGAGCUAAGGAAUGAGGGUUUCUGGAGGGAAUUCUUCCUGGACCUGCUGCAACUUGGAACUUGGAAAAGAACCCAGGCAUCACUUCACUCUUCUCUUGGAUUUAGUUGAUGACAGAGGCUUCAUCUCCUAUGGAAACCACCUCUUGCACUCUCUUUGGGAUUAGCCUUUCACAAGGGAUUCAGAAUAAAGAGUACAAAGAACAAGCCUUAGUCUGAGCCUCAAUUUGGAGAGCAAUGGUAUUUCGAGAAGUAGGCUGUGGCAAACACAGACAAAUUGAGGACAGUACCAUGAGACAAGGACAUUUCUCUCUACAGAAAAGCACCAUGUGAAGGACAUCAAUUUGGAUGAUUUUGAAAGGACCUUGGCAUCCAGACAUCCUUUUGUCAAAGCCUGGCAGAGACUGAUUGCAAAGUGGCCUACCAUAGUCCCCUGAAAAAAUUAGAAGACUAUGAACUACUUUAACCAAAGACUCAAAUAACAUCUGAAAGCUAGUGUAAAUUUAUUCAGAUUGUGUGAAAGUUACAGAUAGGUAAAAGCGACAGAGGAAUAAACAAAAUUGGGCAUUUUAAACUCA